GCCGGACGCGGUGGCGCGCGCCUGUAGUCCCAGCUACUCGGGAGGCUGAGAUGGGAGGAUCGCUUGAGCCCAGGAGUUCUGGGCCGUAGUGCGCUCUGCCGAUCGGGCGUCCACACUAAGUUCGGCAUCAAUAUGGUGACCUCCCGGGAGCGGGGGACCACCAGGUUGCCUAAGGAGGGGUGAACCGGCCCAGGUCGGAAACGGAGCAGGUCAGAACUCCCGUGCUGAUCAAAAGACUCAGCUUUUUCUGUAAUGCUCCUUUUCCUUACUGGGUAAAAAAGUACCAAGGUGGCCACCUCU
rnacentral:SRP_RNA from 1 species